GACUGAACCACUGUCAUCUGAGAAUUGAGGGUCAAAGUUGGAUCUUCCCAGCUCAGAGGAGAAGCCUUCUCUAAACAAAGGAGGGGCUCAGCUGGGUAGGUUGUUGCAAAGAGAACUCACUUCAGAGCCAAGUCAGCCAGGCCCUGUCACUUAAAAGCUAUGUGACCUUGUGGAAGCCUUGAACCCAAGACUCAGGAUACUGAGACAGCAAGACCUUCCUCAAAUUGCCGAGAUGCAGGGUCUUGCUCUGUUGCCCAGGCUGAUCUCAAAUUUCUGGCUUCAAGUGAUCCUCCUACCUCAGCCUCUCGAAGUGCUGGGAAUACAGACAUAAGCCACCACACCCAGCCCACAUAAGUCCUUCAAGAACUCCCGGCAGUGCUUUCUUCAGAUGAUGCUCGGAAUCCAGCCACCUCUGACCAUCUUCACUCUGAGUGCUAGGGGCUCUUCACCUCCCUGCACACUGGGCUCUCUGUUUCUGCUCCUAGCCUCGCAGCCUCUCAUCAAGUGACCUGUCACUACUCUGCUCAAGGCGUUGUCUGUUAGGAUGAUCAUCAGCACUAGCUGCUCUGCCUGGAGUGGUCCCGACACAUGCUUGACUGCCUCCUUCACUCCGUCAAGUUGAUACAGAAGGGCUGGGCUCCUGGCUAGACCCUACCCUUAAGCCUGGAACUUCAGCCCUAAAGGACCCCAUUUUCCCCCAAAAUGUUACCUUUUUGGCCUGCCUGCCCAUAUGCUGUGCCCAUAAAAGACUUCAGCUGGCAGAGCAACACAAGCGGCUGAGCAUUGAGGAUAUAAGCGGCUGAGCGGCGAGCAGAAAAGCAACUGAGUAUCGGAGACUGUGGAUAGAUCUGGCUAACUUCAGAUGGUGCAGGUUUGGAGAGGGGCCCUGCCGGAGACGGUGGGGCUUCAGAGAAAGAUCACCAUCCCAUCCCCUUUCCAUCCUCCCUUUCCACUGAGAGCCACCCAACACUCAGUAAAGUCUUCUACAUUCAUCACCUUUCAAACAGUUCAUGUGACCUGAUUCUUCUUCCUGGACGCCAGACAAGAAUCUGGGUGCCGAGAAGGCAGGGGCUGCCACCCUGAACCUCCACUGAACUGGUUGGUAUUUGGCCAUCCCCUGACAGCAGAGCUGAAAGAACAGGGACGCUGCUGCAGGGCCCUAACAGAGCCUGCUCCUGCCAGAGAGGAGCAACUGGCCGGUUGCAGCGUUCAUUUGCUCCGGUUCCCACACUCACUCACGCACUCGCUCCCACAAUGAGUGGCCAGCAACAGGCUGAGUGAAACAAAGUGCUCCUUAGCUGGGCGUGGUGGUGGGUGCCUGUAAUCCCAGCUACUCGGGAGGCUGAGGCAGGAGAAUCGCUUGAACCCGGGAGACGGAGGUUGCAGUGACUCGAGAUCUCGCCACUGCACUCCAGCCUGGGCGACAAAGCGAGACUCAGUCUCAAAAAAAAAAAAAAAAAAAAAAAAAAACCAACAA